rnacentral:tRNA from 1 species
CACUAGGAAGCUAAAUAGGGUUUAGCGUUAGCCUUUUAAGCUAAAGAUUGGUGACCCCCAACCAUCUCUAGUGA